rnacentral:rRNA from 1 species
GAUGAAUGCUGGCGGCGCGCCUAACACAUGCAAGUCGAGCGGUAACAUGGACUUCGGUCUGAUGACGAGCGGCGGACGGCUGAGUAACGCGUGGGAACAUGCCCCAAAGUGAGGAAUAACUGCCCGAAAGGGUGGCUAAUGCCGCAUAUGAUCUUCGGAUUAAAGGAUUUAUCCGCUUUGGGAGUGGCCUGCGUACGAUUAGGUAGUUGGUGAGGUAAUGGCUCACCAAGCCUACGAUCGUUAACUGGUCUGAGAGGAUGAUCAGUCAGACUGGAACUGAGACACGGUCCAGACUCCUACGGGAGGCAGCAGUGAGGAAUCUUCCACAAUGGGCGAAAGCCUGAUGGAGCGACGCCGCGUGCAGGAUGAAGGCCUUCGGGUUGUAAACUGCUUUUAUAAGUGAAGAAUAUGACGGUAACUUAUGAAUAAGCACCGGCUAACUACGUGCCAGCCGCCGCCGUA